AACGAACGCUGGCGGCAGGCCUAACACAUGCAAGUCGAACGCCCCGCAAGGGGAGUGGCAGACGGGUGAGUAACGCGUGGGAAUAUGCCCUUCGGUUCGGAAUAACACAGGGAAACUUGUGCUAAUACCGGAUACGAUCUACGGAUGAAAGAUUUAUCGCCGAGGGAGUAGCCCGCGUAGGAUUAGCUAGUUGGUGAGGUAAUGGCUCACCAAGGCGACGAUCCUUAGCUGGUCUGAGAGGAUGAUCAGCCACACUGGGACUGAGACACGGCCCAGACUCCUACGGGAGGCAGCAGUGGGGAAUAUUGGACAAUGGGCGAAAGCCUGAUCCAGCCAUGCCGCGUGAGUGAUGAAGGCCUUAGGGUUGUAAAGCUCUUUCGCCAGGGAAGAUAAUGACGGUACCUGGAAAAGAAGCCUCGGCUAACUCCGUGCCAGCCGCCGCCGUAAGAC
rnacentral:rRNA from 1 species